UUACUGUGUGUUUUUUCUUAUCAUUUUCUGUAUCAUUGUGUGUAUCAUUAUGUCUCAUUUACGGAUGAUGGAGGCCACUGUGCUCAUUGGGACCUUCAAUGCUGCAGAAAUGUUUCUGUACCCUUCCCCAGACCUGUGCCUCGAUAGAAUCCUGUCUCGGAGGUCUACAGACAAUUCCUUGGACUUCAUGGCUUGGUGUAGGAGUCGGGGCUGUGGACGUCUCUCCCUCCUCUGCCUCCAUAAUCUCAGCCCAAGUGAGAUGUGUAGGAGUUGGGGCUGUGGACAUCUCUGCCUCCUCUUCCUCCAUAAUCACACCCAAGGUGGGAGGUGUAGGAAUGGGGGCUGUAGACGUCUCGGGUUCCUCUGCCUCCAUAAUCUCAGCCCAAGUGAGACUUGUUGGAGUUGGGGCUGUGGAGGUCUCUGCCUCCAUACUCUCUGAUCGAGUGAGAUGUGUUGGAGUUGGGGCUGUGGAUGUCUCUGCCUCCAUACUCUCUGCCCAAGUGAGACGUGUUGGAGUUGGGGCUGUGGACGUCUCUGCCUCCUCUGCCUCCAUAAUCUCAGCCCAAGUGAGAGCUGUUGGAGUUGGGACUGUGUACGUCUCUGCCUCCACUGCCUCCACAAUCUCUGCCUAAGUGAGAGGUGAUGGAGUUGGGCUGUGGAUGUCUCUGCCUCCACUGCCUCCAUUAUCUCACCUCUUGUGAGAG
ensembl:lncRNA